rnacentral:lncRNA from 1 species
GAAAACUCAGGUGGUCAGGCUUGGUGGCAAGCGCCUACACCCGGCGAGCCGUCUCGCAGACACUUACACUGGGGACAUUGACUUCAAGCUAAGCAUUUCCAACUCCUAGAACCAAAGCAGGCUGAAGCGAGAUGACCCAGGGGCCAGUCACCCAGGAGAAGGCUGCCUCCGGCUUCUGGCUGGCCGACUGCGCAUGUCCUCCCAGCACAGUGCCCGCUACAGUCGAGAAAGCCUCGGCCAAGCCCGCACCCGACAGGCUCGGGGCUACAAGGCUUGUGGGGUUUAACCUGGGUCGACCUCCAGGAAAAUCAAGAUCAGAGCGGAGACGUGCUGAGAGGUAGGGACAGUCUGGAGUCUUAGGAGGUGGGACUUGGGCGGAUGCACUCCUCUGGGCGCUCACGGUGCGUGGUGGAUACUCUGACCCGCUCCUCUUGGCUGACCACGCACGAGGGCAGUCAUCCUGGGGAAACUGAGGCCGCCAAAGUCAUAGGGCUCAUCCGAACAUCCUGCCCCAACCCGGCGCGGCAUCCAAGCACCUGCUCCAUCUGGGGACACCCGGAGGUCUAGGCCGCCACACAUAGCCCAGGGGGAGCGGUGAUAAAGAUGCGGAACUCGUCGCGCGAACGCAGAGGGGAGGGAGGAGGCGUUGAGAGUCUUGCGCCAUGUGAGCUGGAUCCGCGUGGGUCCCGUCAACCCAGCCGCUGUUGACGACGCCCAGGACCCGGAGUCCUGUGGACACAGCAUUCGGGUGACCUCGGAGCCUCAAGAGAUCUGCAGCUCGCCUGCUCCAACGCCCCUUCCCCAAUAUCCCUUCCUUAGAACCUCGGUCCCCUCCUGCAUCCUUCUGUUCUAUGAUACCUUCCAGAGCCUCAAGAGGGCGCUGUGGGCGCGCUGCUGGAGGCCGCGCCUCCUGCCUCCAACUUAAGGUCCGAGCUGGAACUAGCUUUUGACACGAGCUCUUGAAUACGUGUGUGGGACAGGCAAGGUGACAUAACCCUGAAGCCUCAAUCGCAGGAGAGAAAUAAAGGCUUUUUUCCUUGUUUA